rnacentral:rRNA from 1 species
CCACGUUUGACAUGUCCCGUAUGACCUGGAGAGAUUCGGGUCUUCAGUUCGGCUGGCGGGAACACAGGUGCUGCAUGGCUGUCGUCAGCUCGUGUCGUGAGAUGUUGGGUUAAGUCCCGCAACGAGCGCAACCCUCGCUACUAGUUGCUACCAGGUUUAGCUGAGCGCUCUAGUGGAACUGCCGGUGGCAAGCCGGAGGAAGGUGGGGAUGACGUCAAGUCCUCAUGGCCCUUACGCGUGGGGCUACACACGUGCUACAAUGGUGGUGACAGAGGGAUAAUCCCUAAAAGCCAUCUCAGUUCGGAUUGUCCUCUGCAACUCGAGGGCAUGAAGUUGGAAUCGCUAGUAAUCGCGGAUCAGCAUGCCGCGGUGAAUACGUUCCC